rnacentral:rRNA from 1 species
GACGAACGCUGGCGGCGUGCUUAACACAUGCAAGUCGAACGAAGUGGCGAACGGGUGAGUAACGCGUAAUCAACCUGCCCUUCAGAGGGGGACAACAGUUGGAACCGACUGCUAAUACCGCAUACUGAAGGAGGGGCUUGCGUCUGAUUAGCUAGUUGGAGGGGUAACGGCCCACCAAGGCGAUGAUCAGUAGCCGGUCUGAGAGGAUGAACGGCCACAUUGGGACUGAGACACGGCCCAAACUCCUACGGGAGGCAGCAGUGGGGGAUAUUGCACAAUGGGGGGAACCCUGAUGCAGCAACGCCGCGUGAGUGAUGACGGCCUUCGGGUUGUAAAGCUCUGUUAAUCGGGACGCGGUACCGGAAUAGAAAGCCACGGCUAACUACGUGCCAGCCGCCGCGGUAAUAC